rnacentral:lncRNA from 1 species
UUUUUUUUUUCAUAAAAGGCAAAUGUAAAUCCAAGAGGCUUGGGAGGUAGAGACAGGAUUAUCACAAGUUCAAGGUCAUUCUUAGCAAUUUAGCUAAACCUUGUCUCAAAAUAUAAAAAAGGGCUUAGAUGUAGAUCAGCGGUAAAUAGCCCCUGGGUUAAAUUCCCAGUAUCCCCUUUCCUCCCUCCCUGCCCCCCCAAAAAAGGCAAAUGUAUUUAAGGGAGACUGUAUCUUGUAGAACCUAGGGACAAAAAUUCACUGGACCUUAUUGGAACAGGCUACUAAAAAGCCAUCAAAAACCAAGCUGGCUGGGUACAGUAGCUACACCUAUAAUCCCAGCAACCCUGGAGGAUAGUGAGUUCAAAGCCAGCCUCACCCAAAAGCAAGAUGCUAAGCAACUCAGUGAGACCCUGUCUCUAAAUAAAAUACAAAAUAGGGCUAGGGAUGUGGCUCAGUGGUCAAGUGCCCCUAAGGUCAAUCCCUGGCACCCAUCCCCACCCAAAUACCAAGGUGUGCCUUCUGUCUUCUGUUCUUGGCAUGUAUGCAUAAUUUUCUUUCAUUAGUCUUGCUGAAAAUGGCCUCUCAUGGGUUUGGAGUUUAUAUAUUACAAGUUCAAUCACUCAGACUGAAUCUCUCCUCUUGGGGAGAGAGAUCUCUGAAUGAGCCAGACAAUCUUUUCUGGCCAUGGGAACAGGAAGAAGCAGCAGAAGUCUGAUGACUAAAAAGCCUGCUAGGCUGAAAAGAAACCAAAUGGUGGCUGUUAGUAGUAAGGUCUAAUUUUUAUUUAGUUUGGUCUUAGAUUGGGCAGAUUAGGACCAGGGUAAUUUACAUUAAUUGGAGAAAAAUUAGAAAAUAUAAUCAAAAAUAUUACCCAUUGUCUUACCUGUAAGAGGUAAUUGGCUUUCUUCUUUCUCUCUCUCACACUCUUUUUGGCCAAACUGCUAGGCAUAUACUCUGAGUUACGUCUUUAUUCUUUUUUUUCCUCUAUAAGUUUAUUAUUUCAUGUGUGGCAUUGUAAUCCUUUUCUUACUUUGUUUUUUAUCACUUAAUAUUUAUUAAAGGUAGUUCCAUAAUAUGAAAUCUAGUACGGUAUACCAUAACCACCAUCACCAUGCACAUUUAAGCUGUUUCUGAUCCCUCUCCCGCUUUGUACUAGGGAUUGAACCCUAGGACCUGCUACAUACUGGGAAAAUAUACUGCCACUGAGCUACAUCCUGGCCCUUUUUCUUUUC